ensembl:lncRNA
AGUGCCCCCACUCAGCAAGUCAGUGUCCUGCACGGGGGCUGGUUCUGAUAGCCCAACUGAACACAGAAAGCUUUAAAAACAUUAAAGAAAGGCAACAAUAGCUUAGAAAGAUGAAAGGUGGCCUGAGGGAGCCAGCUUGAUUGAGACAGCUUGGAUUAAUUUCUACUCUUGUGCGCAUGAAAUUACUUUACCCCAACCACUCUGUGCUGUGAUCCCCCCGGUCCUGUAGAGCAGCCAUCCAUCCCUGCAGCUCACCCCACCCAGGCUGCAGCUCCAGAGGAGCAUCCCCAGGUGCACACCUGAGGCUGAGCCAGCUGCAGGCUGCAUGCUGGUUCCUUGGGGUUGGCAUUAUGGUACCACCACAGGUUAAGGCAGGCCUGGAAGCUCCCUCUGAAUGCAGGGUUUGAGGCCAAAUGUUUGAGAUUUGGCAAGCACAGGUGGGUAUUAGUCUGACAUAACCCGAGGAGAUCUAAAUGCUGUGAAUACACUUCUAUCUGCAGCCACCACAGAACAAGGGAAUUCUGAUCACUGCCCAGACAGUUCAGACACUUCAGAGUUGAAUAGAAAGAUUAAGCUUAACAACCUCGUUAAAGUGCAGGUAUCUGGAAGCCAGCAAUCCAAGGCUUCCCACAGGCAUGCUGGCACCAUGACUGAACAGUUUUUGAAUGCAGACUGGCAUCCUGCCCCACUAGGGGCAACUGCUGCCUCUAACCUGAAAGAGCUGUCACCACUUCAGAGCCAUAAUCCUUCCCAGGCUCAUAAAGGAUGGGUCUCACCAGUGGAAGCUCUCCAGAGCACAGAAAGCAGCUAACAAAUGUAGUUUCAGCUCAGCUUACACUUGAUGAGAGUUUAAGGUCCUAUGACUCUUAAGAAGCACUUGAACACAUCUCCUUGACAGUGUGCACCCUUACUGCUAAACCAAGCUGCCUUCAGACAACCUGCUUACAGGGUAGGAAUGCUGCUGCUCCAUGACUGCAGCUGCACGACUGCAGCAGAUGGAGGCAGAAAACCCCUGGCUGAAGGCCAACUGCAGAGAUGCAGCUUCAGCUAAACAGAGGAACUUUGACAGGAUGAUAGGGACUGCAAUUCGGUACCUAGCUAAUAGUGGUUUAUUUAAUCUUCAAAUCAAGGCGAUUCACCUUUCCAGCAUUCUGGUUCAACCCAGCAAGCUAUUAGACUAGCUAAAUGAUUUACUGCUGCUCAGCUCAGAUUACUUCAGUGGAUCCCUUCCAUUCUCAAACUCCAAAGAACUAUGAUACAAAAGCAUAUUUACCUGAACUCACACGUUACCUUCACAGUUAUCCUUAAUCACGAUAUCAUGCAUUAAUUAAAAAACUUCUACUGCAUACCGACACUGGCAGUAGGUUUUAAUGCCAGCUAAGAAAGAUCUGUAAGUACAGGGAGAUUACCUUCUCUCUCCACAGGGUGCCAGUUUGUUCAUCUCCAUCCUGCAUCCAAGACAUGAUGCACCACAGUGCUGCUUCACCUGCCAAGGGCAAAACAGUACCAUCAGAUUGCUGCAUUUCUCCGCACAUUCCUUUAACAUACACAACAAAGUCCUUGGUAAACAUGUAAAGAAUUCAGGCUUUCCCCAAAAUACAUUUCCAGGUCUUCUUCAGAAGAGCAGGUAAGCACAGCAGGACUCUGCAAACAAACAUAGAAACCAUUUGCCUUAAAUGCAGCAUUGGCCUGGUAAUGGACAUAAAUACUGCGUGUACAACAGCAUUUAUUGUGUUCGCUGCUGUAUUUAUUAUAUAAAGAAUUCAUGCCUACUCAACAAGCCCUUUGGCACUGUCUCAUGAGCACUUCCCAGAAGCUAAGCGUGAGAUGGCUGCAACACAGCUCAAGGUCUUCAUACAAACCUGACAAACCACAGUAACCUGUUUUACCUCUGCCUUCGUGGAAAUAUCUUGAUUGGAGUCUAAGUCAGGAAACUUCAGCAACAAGUGAAUGGGAAAGGCACCUAACUGCAGUGUCAUAUGCUUGAACAAGUGCCCUCCGUUUAUCUCACCAUACAUCAGCAGAGAUGCAUUAACUGUCUGUGUGCACAAGCUCAUAGUCUGUAUUAUCAGGAGUUAACACAAGUAUCAGCUCAGUGAGGGUGUGCUAGCCUGACUCAGAUGUCUCUUUAUUUGCCAUUGUUUGAGAGCAUGAAGGCACAUUUCAUCUGCCAGCUGGACUUGAAAUAACAGCUGGGGUCUAAGCAUAUAAUUACUUCACUCAGUGCUGUAGUUUUACCUGUAGCAAUUGAGUGGAUGAAGGCUGGAGACCAGACUCAUUAACCACCCAGAACUUGAACAUACGCCUAAGAGAAGCUACCAGUGGAGGACAACCCAAUAACUUGACAGCUCAGACACAGAUCCAGCUCCCUUGAGCUCCUUUGCAGGCUACUUCUCCAUAGGCUGUCUGCUGGUGCAGGUGCACAUGCGUGCAUAUGCAUACUUUGUAAAGGGUAAUUAUGACUAAUGAGAUGGGGACAAAGUCUCUUCAGUUGUAUAGCCAUCAAUCCAGAGCAAAGUGACUGGCAUCAGUGAAUAUACUGCUACUCAGCAGAUGCACUGCAGACACAGCCUCCACCACUACCCUUGGAACAGUGCAAACACGAAGCCUACUUUAAGCUGAGGAAACAUUUAGUAAUUCUUUCAUUCUAAGUAACAGCUUCUACAAAGAGCAUCUGUUAGGGAUGCUUGACAGCUGUUCAAACCUAAAGAAACCUUUCCAACAAACCAUGCCACAUACUUCUAUUCUCCAUACCAUUUCACAUAACGCGAGCUAAAGAAAAAGCUUAGCACUACAGAAACCAGAUUCAGGAUUAAAAAGACCUACAUCCUUUCUCUGACUGCAAAACUGCUAAUUCAGAUUUUCAAGAUCUAAAACUGCAUGGAAGCAGCAAUAGUCUUGCAACCCAAGAAAUGUCCCCAUAGGAAGUUACAGCUGCACCUAUAGUCUGAAUAAACUCCCAUGUCCUCUGCAUAUAAACUUAUUCCUACUUCCAAUUCAUAAAAGACUAGAGGAGAAAAUGAAUCAGAUGAAGAGGUGAAACAUCCAACAGUGAGCAUCUGACAUUAGAAGAAGCAAACAACUGAGCCUGCAAUCAGGUGUUAGUGAGUGGGCAGGGGCAGCCCCCAAAGAGGUCAGCGCUGUUCCUCUCUGCCUUCAGCACUCAGGUUGCUCUGUCACCCUGACAGCAUCAUGCCCAGACAGUUUUGCUUUAAAUUUUACAUUCAUGUUUCAAGUCUGCGUGGGUUUUAGUUAUAGGCAGACAAAAACAGGCUUGUGACAGUCAGCUUCUCUGAAUUUCCGGGGCCAGUAAGUGCUUUCUUUAAAGAAAAGGUUAUGUGAAGAAUGAACACAACUUUCACCUAACUGCCAUGGAACAAAGCCAGCAUGAAACAACUUCUUUGUCUUCAGAGCAGAGGAAAAAAAAAUCAUGUAGAACAAGUACACCUGCCAAUGCUGGGUUUCCUUUUGCCUCACAUACAAUGAAAAAGUAACAAAAUGAACUGCUGGAGCUCUGGCAGCAAGAACAGAAAGACUGUGAUGAGGCAGGAGCCUGCAGAGCUCAGUGAGCCUCCUCAACCCCUGUGUCCUGGCUGCCCACGUCUGGCUGCACAUAUGGUACUGCAACUGCCAGCUGUGCUGGGUUUGAAAAGACAAGCAAUCAGUGGAGAUGGUGGAGGGAAUGUGGAGGGAAUGUAUCUAUAGAUAUCUCAGUAGUCAUUUAUGAAAGCAUGUCUCAUGUAAGAGUGAAGAAAUAUGAUAUUUAAGAUAUUUUAUUAGAAAGAUGACUUCACAGUGAUGGUCUAAUGUAGCAGUUACCCCUACUUACCAUGUGCUAAUUAGCUUCCCCCAUCAGAAUGCAGCAGCUCAGGUCUAUUACACCCAUGCACUGCCUCAUUACUUAGCCAAAAACCUGUUCAGACAUCACCAAGAGCAUCAUCUCCCAGAAGCUCCUUGUCUCCAAGGACACCAGCAAAUUCCUGUUGCAUUUGGUGGAUGGUUAGGCCUCACAACAGCCUGUGAACAUUUCCCUGUUUUGCAGAAACAGGAAACAGAAGCAGAACAAUUAGCAGAAGGAACCAUAGUAAUUUAAGCACAGAGCAAGGGAUGAAGAUCUGGGCCAUUGGGUGUUUCCAGUAAUGACUGAAGCAUCUGACUGCUCCCUCUGCAGUGCCCUAUGCACUGUGGUGUCCCGGAGGCUUUGCUCAGCCAUGUACCAGCUGCAUAAUCAGGAUUUUCUUCUGGUUGUCUCUCUGCCUGCUGAUCAGAUACAAACUGAAGCAAGGACACACACAUACCAGCUUUCCAUAUACCACACAGCACAAGGCAUGCAGAAAUAAAUACUGGGUGCAGCUAUACCUCAACACAUCAACACUGUUUGCAACGGCCCUGCUAGAAAGGACUUGUGCCAGAUGGACUGAGACACUGAAGCUCCCAGCCAGGCAAAAGCCCAACGUUGAGGCACUCUGACAUAUUCUCCUUUCCUGCAAUGCAAAAGCCAUCCCUGUAGACUCAGGCAGGAAAGCUGAAUGACACAGCAGUCACGUUACUCCUCUAACAGCAGACACCUCUUCAGACAGCCUCUGAUCUCCUCCAGAACCACGUCUCUCCUCCCCGGUGUUGCACCCACACAUGAGGGCAGAGCCUGGAUGGCACAGGGAUCCCACUCAUUAGCUGAUGGAGCAGAUGAAGAACAGCAAGCUGAAGAUCCAGCAAUAGAUUAAAAAAACAUAAGAUGACAAAUGGUGUACUUUUGUCCUAAGGUCACGGGAGCAGAGUCACAAGAAACUUAAGUCAUUCAGUCAACUCCUGUGGGCAGGGUGAGGGCUAACCGCAGGUCACCACGUUCGUUAGCAUUUCCUCCACUUUCUUAACGUGCACAUCAAUACUUGACCUACCUCCUGCAGAAAAGGAGGAGAGCGGGGUCUCCAUCAAUCUCUUGCAUGGCUUUACAUGGAAAUACUUUCAAAUUCUCUCGUUCAAUUAAUCUUUCCUUAGCAUUUACUCUGUCAAGCAUCCAACAGGGACUGAACUAAGAAUAGUAGCUGAGGUGAAGGACAGCACUUGCUGGUAGGAUUAGCUGGAGCAAUUACAGGUAGCAAAUCUGCUAUUCAAAGGCUUUAUCAUUAAGCAGCAAGAGAUAUGACUCUUCUUGGUGAGGGAUUUUUUUUUUAAUUAGAGGAAGGCUGACAGAGCACAGAGCAGCUGCAUGCAUGCAACUCCACAUACGGCUGCCUCCCUCUGCUGGGGGACAGGCAGCCAGCAGCCCCAAGGCGUCACCGCAUGCAUGCAUGUUCAUUCCAUGGCAGAUGUUCCACCAGGGCUGCAGCAUCUACCUUCACACAUAGGCAACAGCACAGGGCCAGCAGUGAUGACACAUUUCUCUUUACCCUGGCCACACUUCCUCUACCAUUGCUGCAGUACCAUGACUCCUCUUGACAUGACUCCCAUGCAGUAAGUGCUUUUCCUAAAUCAGUCCUUCUCUAAAUUCCCCACCCAUUUCUGCAGCUUGGAGCCCAUCCAGACAGCACUGCACAGAGCAGCCAUCGAGAACAGAACUGCAGCAGUUCAAAGCUUUUGAAAGCAUGCAAGCAGAGGUCUCCACAUCCUUCUUGGCUGCGACUGCAGCCCUUCAGGACACAGAGGAAGAGCUCAGCUGCAAAUCGAGCUGUACAGACACACAAAUGGCAGUGCCUUGUUCACAGUUCUAGUGGCUGUUUUUAGAUGUUGUGCCAUGCAAGUUGUUUAUACAACAAAACACACCAACGAUGCCAGUAACUGGGCUCUGCAUUAAGAGCUUUGUUACCAGAAGCACUCAUCCCAUGUAAAUCUGAGUCAGUUUCUUAAAAUAGAGAGCCUGAAAAUAAACAUCAGCUGAGUAUUAAUGUCAUGAAUGCUAUCUAGCAGCAGAAAUACAUUCAUCGCAUAUGUGUUCAACUUGGACAUUGUACAGGAAUGGUCAGAACAGGCAAAAUUUGGUAUUGCAAGUUUUUCUACAUCUCAACUCCCCUGCAGGCUUUGUUUUUCUCAUGAUAAGCAAUUAUUUUACUAAUGCUGCAACAAACUGCACAUAAGUUAAUCUAAGCAAGUGCGCCCUCUCUAUCUCAAUAUCCUGACUGCAGUACGAGGAGUUAAGAGGUUAACAUUAACCAUUCAAAGGCCUUACCAUACUCUCCUGUAACUCCUUCCAGAGCAAGGUGGCCAAACGUUGCUCUGCCCGCAGGCUGUGCAGCAGGGAGGUCCAGUUUGGAAGCAGCAUAGUGGGACAUCCCCUUUGAGAGCACUCCAGAAUCCCGCGGACUGCAGCUGGCCCAUAGAGCGCUGGGGUCAUCUUCCACCCUGAGCUGCUUCAGCUGCAGUUCUUCUAGGAGGGGCAGAACAGGUAUUCUGACUGUGCGGCCUGCAGGAUGCCACAUUCUCUGCAGUAAUCAUGAAUUUGUUGGGGUGGGAGGCGGGCAAAAAUGGGCUAUUAUGAAUUGAAGAGAUUCAAUUCCUAGUAGAUAAGAUGCAUGAAUUGCCAUUUAUCUUGUUUGCCUCAUUCCAGACACCCUGCGCAUGCUGCAGCAGCAACAGUCCAAGUGUCACCUGCACUGCAUCAGCAGUUAUCCAUCUCCCUGCUCUGCACUCCUUUACCACCAACAUGCCGCUAUGCAAUGCGCUACAUCCAUCAUUUCAGUCCCCAGAACACUGAAGCAUCCUGGCUCAGGCAGGUGCAGAGCAGAUGCUGCAGUGGUGGCUCAGCACCCAAGUUCAGUUCAUUGCUUUGCUGCUUCUUCAUCACGGCUGUUACUGAAGUUGUUACAAUAAAGCCCCUCGAGGAGAUGCCCACAGGCAGCACCAUCCCUCAUUGCAACUGAAGGACAUCCAGGUAAAGGACAGUGCAUUCUACUUGCAAACAUAGGGCAAGGGACUUGGCCAACCCAAUUGCUAAAUGACUGUGGGGGGAGCAGAGGACAGGGGUUGGCUGUCACAGUGCUGGCAGCAGCAUCUUUCAGUUGUUCCCCCCCACUUCCCUGCAAUGUCCUUCGCUGAAGAGUUCAGAUAGGGCUUUUGCUGCAGUGCAUCAAAGAGAGGGUGACUUGCCAGCAAACCACAAAGAGUUCCCUCCUCUGCACUUCUCCCGCACCCACCCAGAGCAGAGGAGCUGACACGUGGUAAUUGGAGGCUGAAGGACUGCCUCACCCGUCUGCGGGUCCCAGUCUCACUUGUACCACCCCUCCUCUAAACUCCUCCAGGUGCACUCAAGGAUCCUGCUCAGUUUGACCCUCUGUGUGCCAUAGCCUCAUUUACACAGCUUCUCUGCAGAGCACCUCUUCCCUGAGAGAUGCUGGUUCUAAUAGCUCCAUGGGCAAGAAGGCCUCAGAGCCAGGAUCAUAUCCCAGAAUGCAGCCUGAGGUCCAUCCUCUCAUGGCUGCGACCCCCUGUCCUAACCCACAAGCUUGUCCACAGCCCAGGUUAACCCAGAGAUGGGUUUCAGUGCACGGUUUCCUCCUGCCUUCCAGUUCAAGGACGUUUGCUCCAUGCCCCCCUUUGCCUGGAGAGGUUCAGGUGUUGCUCUGAAGCACAGCAGGCACUCGAACACUUCCACAAAUGGUGCAAGGAGACAGGCUGCAUGUUCUGCUGCCGACAGCACUGCUGCAGUGGCACAGCAGUUACUUCUACCAAAAAAGCAGAUUUGUCACAAUGCGUAAAGUUGCACUCAGGCAUCCCCUAUGAGAAGGGAUGCAUAUGGAAGCAUUUCUGAGCCUGGGAGCUAUAGCAGCACCUCAGGGAUGACCCCAACCAACAUCUUCCCUACUGUUCUUCCCCACCUGAGAGCGACCUUCAAAUCUGAAAGUCUCCCCCUUUAAUCCCCCCCAGUUUAAUCAAAGUGUAUUUAAUCAGAUGACUCUCCAUCUUCUUUGAAUGAAGCUACUGACAACAUACUUGGGACUGAUGCUAAAUUGCAAUCCACACAUUGUAAUCUCAACGUUUUUCACCAACAAUUCAAGGUCAACAGCUCGUUCAAGGCCACUUCUGUGCUCCUCUUGAAUAUCUCACUGAGCAAAGACCUCAUUUUGUUUUCACAGGACUCAACAACUUUCACUGCUAAACCAAAUGUAGAAUAACUUCAGCGAGUAUAUCCUCCAUUCAUUUUGUUCCUUAAGAACAGAGUACUUUCUGCUCAUCACAUGUAAGCUUUUCAAAUGAGGUAAGCUUUGCCCUCAGUUUAUAAACGGUUAUUUUCUGCAGAAUAUUGAUGCAAAUUAAAACCCAUUUAGAUUUGCCAAAUAUCAGUUCUUGCUCACUCAGCAGUAGGGACUCUCCCUCCUAAGAAGACCAGUUGUCUGAAAAGCAGGGGAAAGGCACAAGGAGGGCAGAAGAACAGCAAGCCUGCUGCAGCUCGGCUCUCCCAGCAUAAUUAGAAAUUCUAACAGCUGAGCUGGAAAAAUUACAUCUUAAGGACAUUUAUGCCCAGACAUAGAAAUAGAGGGGGGAAAAAAAAAAAACAUUAAGAUUCCUGGCACAUGGGAAUUCUUGUGUUCACAUGUCAGAUGGGGAUGGGCCGAAAGCAAUUUGCAGCAGCUGGUAAGGCUUUUUAAUACACUGGUGCAUCACACUGCACAACUGAGACAGCCAACAGCUCCUCCGCCCCCUGCAUUCCCCAUCACUUGACAUUCUGCAGUGCAAGAGCCAAGUGGAAGAAUCUGCAGAGGUUCUGCAAGAAGCAGCCCCUCUCCCUUGCACCACUCCAAAUCUUUCAAGCUUGUGGAAGAAAUGGGCAGAAGUGCUGAAGGCCUGACACAGUUAUUGAGGAAGGGCAAGGUUAUCUUCU